ACGCUGGCGGCGUUGCUUAACACAUGGCAAGUCGAAACGAGAAGAGAUGAGAAGCUUGCUUCUUAUUGAUUCGAGUGGCAAACGGGUGAGUAACGCGUAAGCAACCUGCCCUUCAGAUGGGGACAACAGCUGGAAACGGCUGCUAAUACCGAAUACGUUCUUUCUGCCGCAUGACAGAGGGAAGAAAGGGAGGCUCUUCGGAGCUUUCGCUGAAGGAGGGGCUUGCGUCUGAUUAGCUAGUUGGAGGGGUAACGGCCCACCAAGGCGACGAUCAGUAGCCGGUCUGAGAGGAUGAACGGCCACAUUGGGACUGAGACACGGCCCAGACUCCUACGGGAGGCAGCAGUGGGGAAUCUUCCGCAAUGGACGAAAGUCUGACGGAGCAACGCCGCGUGAACGAUGACGGCCUUCGGGUUGUAAAGUUCUGUUAUACGGGACGAAUGGCGUAACGGUCAAUACCCGUUACGAGUGACGGUACCGUAAGAGAAAGCCACGGCUAACUACGUG
rnacentral:rRNA from 1 species